UUCCUACGGGGCGCAGCAGUGGGGAAUAUUGCACAAUGGGGGAAACCCUGAUGCAGCGACACCGCGUGAGGGAAGAAGGUUUUCGGAUUGUAAACCUCUGUCUUUGGUGACGAAAGAUGACGGUAGCCAAAGAGGAAGCUACGGCUAACUACGUGCCAGCAGCCGCGGUAAUACGUAGGUGGCAAGCGUUGUCCGGAAUUACUGGGUGUAAAGGGAGCGUAGGCGGGAAGACAAGUUGAAUGUUUAAACUAUCGGCUCAACCGAUAAUCGCGUUCAAAACUGUUUUUCUUGAGUGAAGUAGAGGC
rnacentral:rRNA from 1 species